UCUAAAGACAGUAUAGAGCCAAGGA
rnacentral:piRNA from 1 species